UACGUAGGGUGCAAGCGUUGUUCGGAAUUACUGGGCGUAAAGGGCUCGUAGGCGGCCAACUAAGUCAGACGUGAAAUCCCCCGGCUUAACCAGGGAACUGCGUCUGAUACUGGAUGGCUUGAGUUUGGGAGAGGGAUGCGGAAUUCCAGGUGUAGCGGUGAAAUGCGUAGAUAUCUGGAGGAACACCGGUGGCGAAGGCGACAUCCUGGACCAACACUGACGCUGAGUGAGCGAAAGCCAGGGGAGCAAACGGG
rnacentral:rRNA from 1 species